AUACAGCUGACGAGUCCUAAAUAGGACGAAAUGCGCGUCCUGGAU
rnacentral:hammerhead_ribozyme from 1 species